rnacentral:rRNA from 1 species
AGUGAACGCUGGCGGUAGGCCUAACACAUGCAAGUCGAACGGCAGCACAGUAAGAGCUUGCUCUUACGGGUGGCGAGUGGCGGACGGGUGAGGAAUACAUCGGAAUCUACUUUUUCGUGGGGGAUAACGUAGGGAAACUUACGCUAAUACCGCAUACGACCUACGGUUGAAAGCAGUGGAUCUUCGGACCUUGCGCGAUUGAAUGAGCCGAUGUCGGAUUAGCUAGUUGGCGGGGUAAAGGCCCACCAAGGCGACGAUCCGUAGCUGGUCUGAGAGGAUGAUCAGCCACACUGGAACUGAGACACGGUCCAGACGACUACGGGAGGAAGCAGUGGGGAAUAUUGGACAAUGGGCGCAAGCCUGAUCCAGCCAUACCGAGUGGGUGAAGAAGGCCUUCGGGUUGUAAAGCCCUUUUGUUGGGAAAGAAAAGCAGCAGGUUAAUACCCCGCUGUUAUGACGGUACCAAAAGAAUAAGCACCGGCUAACUUCGUG